ACAUUUUCAAAUCAAAUUAAUUUAAAAUAUAAAAAAUAAUCUAUUUAAAUCGAUAACUGAGUGUUCAAAUGAUUAACCUAUAACCGGAAACGAUGACAUCUAUCGGAAUUUUGUUAUAAUAACGAUACUACUACGUAUUCUAUAACAGGCAGCUAUAAGUAAUGUGAGCAAGCACGUCGUAGCAGACGGUUUUGCUUGUUUAAUGUUCAAAUUUUUAAUAUUGCUUCGUUUAUUCUGAAAAUUUACGAAAUAUAUUUAUAACAACAAAAUGGCUGAUAAAAUAAACAAAGAAGCAGAAAACUUGAAAGGUUUUUCAAAAUAUUUUAAUAGUGUGACGAUCCAAGGACGAGCCAAUGUUGCUAAAACAACGUAUGCUCUUGUAGCUCUAAUUUCAGCUUACUAUUAUCUCAAACCAAAGAAAGAAGUGGCAAAAUAAAAAAAUGAAGGCAAAUAAUCAUCUUACAUAAUGAUUUUGUCCAUAAAUUAGGUGUGCUAUUUACUUAAUAAAAAUGUAGUAAACAAUUUA